AAACUAGGAUUAGAUACCCUAUUAUCCUAGGAAAAAGUAUAUUGAUGACAGCUUUAGAAGUCAACAAAAUUGGCGGUUUUCUUUCCUUUUGGAGGAAUCUGUCCCAUGAUGGAUAUUACACCUUUUAAUUUACUAUAUAAUUAGGCUCUUAUACCGCUGUUGUUAAAUCAUAUUUGAAUAAAUGUUUGUAAUCUUUCAGGAGAGUACUUCAAGUCAAGGUAAGGCGGAUGAUAUAGAGAGGAUGGAUUACAAUAAAUAUUUUUAUAACGGAAAUGAGACAUUAGAGUUUGAUGGAAGGUGGAUUCAGUUGUAAAUUAGGAUAAUUUUUUGAUAAGGUUCAGGAAAAUGUACAUAU
rnacentral:rRNA from 1 species